rnacentral:snRNA from 1 species
GUGCUUGCUUCAGCAGCACAUAUACUAAAAUUGGAACAAUACCGAGAAGCUUAGCAUGGCCCCUGCACAAGGGUGACACACAAAUUCAUGAAGCGUUCCAUAUUUUU